rnacentral:lncRNA from 10 species
AAAUAUUCUAAGCUUACCAUAUUAUCCUGACAAACCUUCCUGUGGGAAAAACAAAUGAGGCCAGUGUGACCUAAAGUGGUUCUACUAACCUUUGAUGUUCUUGAUCUUGCUUGACCAAGUAUUGAAUAACUAUGAAGCCAAGGACUGGGAAGAGCUCCCUCUGCUAAUAGUGCCAAGGGGAAUCCUGACAAAGUAAGCCGCCAUCUACUCCUCUCCAGCUUUUCAUCUUCAGAGUCCAGAGGGAUCCCCAGAUGCGGGGAGUAAGCCUACUCCUCUGACCUCUAUACCUCCAUUACUAAGGGUCAAAUGAAAAGUGCCAAAUCUUUACAUAUCCAGGAAACCCAAGAUUUCCUGGUCAUCCUUCCCUGAACUUUCUGCUCAUUUUCCCUGAGACAAACGAAACAAUCCGAAGAUGACUUCCAAAAGUUUUACUACUAUACAC